rnacentral:lncRNA from 1 species
GUUUAGAGCACACAUCCAUGCACUCUUGAGAAUCACAGGUACAUGAACGUAGCCUCAACCCGUUUGACACAUGUACUAAACACGCCAAAAAAAUACCCCCCCCCCCCAAAGACGUCUCAUUCUUGAUGAAACCAUAGCGUUUGACAUUGUCACAGUGUUGACUGCACCCAAGACUGUUGUCACAGUGUUGACUGCAUCCAAGACUGUUGUCACAGUGUUGACUGUUCAAGACAAGACCUUUGUUACAGUGAAGAAGUGGAAGGGAACUGUACAGCUGAAGCGUUUCCCCCCCAAAUCCUUCAAAUAAACACUAAGCUAUAGGUGAAUGUUACUCAUUAAAUCAGAUAAUGGACCGCUUGGUAGAAGGUUUGUCUUAAAUGCUACACUAUAUAGGGAAUAGGGCUCCAUUGGACACCGACUCGGUCUGCUCUGCAGAGCAACACUACACCCCUCAUCAGGGGUCCUGAGGAGUGAGGGUUCAACCACAGUAGCCUGUUCUGUCUUUGGUAGGCUAGGUGGUUACCAGAUUGGUGUGUCCAUUAGCAUCUCUUGACUUGUUAAACAUGAUGACGGGAUAGUUAGCAUCUCUUGACUUGUUAAACACAAUGAUGACGGGAUGGUUAGCAUCUUGACUUGCUAAACACAAUGACGGGAUGGUUAGCAUCUCGACUUGCUAAACACAAUGACGGGAUGGUUAGCAUCUNAUGACGGGAUGGUUAGCAUCUUGACUUGCUAAACACAAUGACGGGAUGGUUAGCAUCUCGACUUGCUAAACACAAUGACGGGAUGGUUAGCAUCUCGACUUGCUAAACACAAUGAUGGGAUGGUUAGCAUCUUGACUUGCUAAACACAAUGACGGGAUGGUUAGCAUCUUGACUUGCUAAACACAAUGAUGACGGGAUGGUUAGAAAGGAUCUGUAGCGAUAACAACACUUAGACAUUCUGAUUUUCUCUACAUUUCUUUGGUUGCGUCCCAGAUGGCACCCUAUUCCCUAUAUAGUGACCAGGGCCCAUAGUAGUGCACUACACAGGGAAUAGGACACAGUCCUGUAUCUAUUGAAGAGACAGGAUGAGGUGCAAACAGACAAAAGCAGCUUUUUCAAAAAGGCAACAUAGGUAGAAAAAUCCUCAUUUGCAUGGUUCCAAUGGAGAGGUGUUUGAAACGACCUGAAUGCAUCACCGUUAGCCUGGCUUGUCCCCUCUAACUGGUGAUAAUGACCUACGAGUUGAAGACAGCACAGAUCAUGAACUCAGGCUUAAAUCACCAUAGCCUUUUAAUUAGAAGUGAUGUAGAUCUAUAACAGAAUGAAAAGAGAGUCAACCUCUUAUCGCUCCCUUUAUACCAAACGACCGCUGUUGUCCUCCUACUGAUGGGCCAGCUCAACUCUGAGGCCUGAUUCUUUCUGGAAUAUUUACUUAUAUUGUAAAUCCAAUCCUGACAGUUAAAAUCUGUGUUGUUUAAGAAGACAAAGGGUUAAAUUAGUUGACUCUUUCUUCACUCUGCUCACCCUAACCCCCCCUGGCCUCCCCUAACACAGGAUCUGACCUCACAGGGCUCAACAUGGAAAAUACUAAAACUACAAAACAAUAUUCAUCAACAUCUUAAAAGUAAUAUUCAUUUUUUUUAUAGAAUCAUGGAAAAAAUAAAAAUGACUUAUUGACUGGUCCCUCUUAGGUCAGUUUGACCUUUUCUCUGACCGGUUUAUAUUAUAACUGAAGCUUGACAAUCCUUUCUGCUGCGGUGUGAUGCGACUGGCUGGCUGUUCACCACAGACAUAGAAGUCUGUCUCAAAUGGAACCCUACUCAUCUAGUAACGCAGUACAUGGUGAAUAUGAUGCCACCUGAGACGGGGUUCGUUUUGAGUCGGAUCCAUAGGAGCUUCCUGGAUGGACAGUCGUGUGGCCUUCUGGAGAAUCUGUCCCCCAUGUGAAGGCUAGUAUAGAACACUGCUACAUCAUCACCCCACUGAUACACCUGCCAUACACCUCGUACUCUGUCCCCGUACAUUUAACUGGAACUUUCCAUGCGCCUUGGGCCAUCUAAAUGUUACCACCGACCAAAAACACUCCGGACAUGAGAUUUAAUCAAGACUUCCCAUCCAGACUGCCAACAUCUCUUCUAUAUGAAUAAAACCCUUAAACCAGUAGGAA